rnacentral:tRNA from 7 species
GGGCCCGUAGCUCAGUACGGUAGAGCAGCGGGCUUUUAACCCGUUGGUCUCGGGUUCAAAUCCCGACGGGCCCGCCA